rnacentral:tRNA from 1 species
AUUAUUUUGGCAGAUUAGUGCGAUUGAUUUAGAAUCUUUGAAUAUAUUUAUACUAUAAGUAAUA